GAUGAACGCUGGCGGCGUGCCUAAUACAUGCAAGUCGAGCGAACAGACGAGAGUGCUUGCACUCUCUGACGUUAGCGGCGGACGGGUGAGUAACACGUGGGUAACCUACCUAUAAGACUGGGAUAACUUCGGGAAACCGGAGCUCAUACCGGAUAAUAUUUAGCUUCGCAUGACGCAAUAGUGAAAGACGGUUCUGCUGUCACUUAUAGAUGGACCCGCGGUGUAUUAGCUAGUUGGUGAGGUAACGGCUCAACAAGGCAACGAUACAUAGCCGACCUGAGAGGGUGAUCGGCCACACUGGGACUGAGACACGGCCCAGACUCCUACGGGAGGCAGCAGUAGGGAAUCUUCCGCAAUGGACGAAAGUCUGACGGAGCAAUGCCGCGUGAGUGAAGAAGGUGUUCGGAUCGUAAAACUCUGUUGUAAGGGAAGAACAAGUACGUUAGUAACUGAACGUACCUUGACGGUACCUUAUCAGAAAGCCACGGCUAACUACGUG
rnacentral:rRNA from 1 species